GUAGGUGGCAAGCGUUGUCCGGGAAUUAUUGGGGCGUAAAGCGCGCGCAGGCGGGUUCUUUAAGUCUGAUGUGAAAGCCCACGGGCUCAACCGUGGGAGGGUCAUUGGAAACUGGAGAACUUGAGUACAGAAGAGGAAAGCGGAAUUCCACGUGUAGCGGUGAAAUGCGUAGAGAUGUGGAGGAACACCAGUGGCGAAGGCGGCUUUCUGGUCUGUAACUGACGCUGAGGCGCGAAAGCGUGUGGAGCAAACAGGAUUAGAUACCCUGGUAGUCCACGCCGUAAACGAUGAGUGCUAAGUGUUAGGGGGUUUCCGCCCCUUAGUGCUGCAGCUAACGCAUUAAGCACUCCGCCUGGGGAGUACGGCCGCAAAGGCUG
rnacentral:rRNA from 1 species